rnacentral:rRNA from 1 species
GCAAGCGUGUCGGAUUUAUUGGGCGUAAAGGGUGCGUAGGCGGUUUGGCAAGUCUCGUGUGAAAUCUAUGGGCUCAACCCAUAGUCUGCACGAGAAACUACUGGGCUUGAGUGAUGGAGAGGUGAGUGGAAUUUCCGGUGUAGCGGUGAAAUGCGUAGAUAUCGGAAGGAACACCUGUGGCGAAAGCGGCUCACUGGACAUUAACUGACGCUGAUGCACGAAAGCUAGGGGAGCAAACAGGAUUAGAUACCCUGGUAGUCCUAGCCCUAAACGAUGAUUGCUUGAUGUGGCAGGUACCCAAUCCUGCCGUGUCGAAGCUAACGCGAUAAGCAAUCCGCCUGGGGAGUACGGUCGCAAGACUGAAACUCAAAGGAAUUGACGGGGGCCCGCACAAGCGGUGGAGCAUGUGGUUUAAUUCGACGCAACGCGAAGAACCUUGCCUGGGCUCGAAAUGUACCGGAAUCCGGCAGAAACGUCGGCGUCUAGCAAUAGACCGGUAUAUAGGUGCUGCAUGGCUGUCGUCAGCUCGUGUCGUGAGAUGUUGGGUUAAGUCCCGCAACGAGCGCAACCCUUAUCUUCAGUUGCUACCAUUUAGUUGAGCACUCUGACGAAACCGCCUCGGAUAACGGGGAGGAAGGUGGGGAUGACGUCAAGUCCUCAUGGCCUUUAUGUCCAGGGCUACACACGUGCUACAAUGGCCGGUACAAACCACUGCAACCCCGCGAGGGUGAGCUAAUCGGAAAAAGCCGGCCUCAGUUCGGAUUGGAGUCUGCAACUCGACUCCAUGAAGCUGGAAUCGCUAGUAAUCGUGGAUCAGCAUGCCACGGUGAAUACGUUCC